GUGUGUUCGGUGUUCUCUCUCUCUCUCUGGGAGGUCUCGCCUUGGCUAUGGUAGUGCAUUCAAUUUUGGGUACGUUAUUGCAGGGCAAGCGAAGCGAAGGAAUUAAUAGGAGAAGUGGUGGUUGUGUGGGGUUGACAGUGUGGGGUGUAGUUGUGAUUUGGAGUGAGUAGGAUGCUCGGUUGCUUAUUUGUUGAAGUUGGAGGUGUUUGGUUGUGUGUGACGGGGAUGGAAUUAAUUGCUGGUUCGAGUUUGCAGCAUUCGUGUCCUGGGGGUGUAGAUUAGGGUUUUGUGUUCGUGAUGUAGAUGGAGGUUGACGAUUGGAGAGGGAGACGUAGUUGAGUAGAGGCAGGAGGAUGGGGUUGAAGGAGCCCAAGGGUUCACAGGUGAAAGAGGGGAAAGUUACUCGCGCGAAGGAGGGGAAGGUGUCUCAGGCGAAGAAGGUGGCUGGUGAUUCGAUUGAUAGGAGCGGAAACAGUGAAGCGCUUCUGGAAUUGUUGCAGGGGGAGAAUGUGACGGGAUUGUGCAAGCAAUUGAAGGUGUUUGUGGCGCCUCUCAUUGCUGUGAGCGGUGGAGGGAAGGAGAACACGUCACGGACAGAGUUACAUAAGCUUGCGAAGCAGUUUGUGCCAUUUCUAGUGCGGCUUCUGAAGCUCUGCUUCGUGAAUGUGGGCAAAGUUCCAGAUGAGGAGCAGGCCCAAUCACAGAGUGGAGGCGAUGAGGUGUUUUUGGCCAUUGAGAUUGCUCUGGAUGGUCUAGAUGUGCUGCGGUCAUUUAUCACAGGGUCCCCUUUUGAAAUUGAGAUCCAGAGGUGUUCGUUCGUGCGGCGCUUGCUGGCCUGGCGACGUCAUUCAGCUGCUUUAAUACAAUGCAGGAAAAACCUCAGCAGCAUUUGCCUCAAUUUCAGUGCUUCCGCCGAGAAAUGUUCUCGCAAACAGGUGCAAGCUCCUGGUGCUGCUAAGGUACAGAAGUGCGCUGCUAUAACAGUGACCGAGAAGAAGAAGAAGAAGCAGGCCGGGCCAAAUUAUGUACUUCCUCACCCUCAGGACGUGGAGCUGACAUUGGGACUCCCGACCUUGGUUUCUGGAAUUGUUACUGAUCUGAUAUGGUGUACAGGUGAAAGUGCUCCUACGUCCGUCGAGAGCUAUCACGAAUUACUUGCUCUUCCUGGGCAGCUGGAGCCUUGGCUGGCAGUCUUGGACGCAAGCGCUGCUGUGAAGCAAAAAGAUACUUUAUAUAAAGGUCUAUACAAGUGUGUUUCAAUUCUGGUCACCAACCCCAAUCGUUAUGGUGUCCAGCUUGUGCGAGAGUUUUCUAUGCUGACGCUUCAAAUUUGUGCUGCUUCGUCUUUAUGGAAGCAGUAUGUGAAGGUUGCUUGCAAGCUUUCUCACUGCCUGAGUCACAAUAGUGCGAGCGACAUUCGCCUUGGCUUGGACGUGAGUCAGGCUGCUAUGAAGGGCAGUCUUGAGAACAUCGAACUCCAAGGUUUAUGGGCCAAUACUGAUAUGUUGGAACUCGUAUCUUACUAUGCACACCUUUGUCAAACAAACAAAUGUUCUGCCGAAGGCUCUUCCUUUCUAGGCGAACUUGUGCAACAACUAUUCAAGUUAUCUCCUCCAGUAGCCACUGUCGUAGGGUUCUACGUAAUUGGAUUGAAAUUUUGUUGCGAUGUAGUAGAUUUCGAUGCAACGUGUCACAACUUGCUCUGUGAUGGAGCAGCACUUCUGGAGAGUUGCCUUCAGCAGGAGUCAGAAAACGACAGACGAAAUCAUGCCUUCGGGUCACUAAAAGCUCUUGAGAUGGUUAAGAAGAAUUCAUCAAAGUACAUACAGGGUGCAUGGACAUCUUUUAUCAGUGAGUGCAAGACUGAAACAAUUGUAGUAUCUGAGACAGGCAGCAUUCAUUCUAUCUUGCGAAGGGUCCUUCACCUUUGGUUUUUGUUGUUGAGUAGAGCCUCGGUCUACUGGAAGCUGACGCGUGAAGAAGACCUCAUCUUAAAACAGGGUUGGAGUCUAGCUUCAGCUCCUCUAGUAUCACUUCUUAGGUUAUCCUUAAUGUCGCUGCAGGGGGUUCAAGACUCUGUGAAUUGCAUCGAUGAUCUGCUGAAAAGAGGUAACCUUCAGAUAGACGAAUUACGAUGGAUAAUUGCUUCUGCAUACAACAUGGGAAUACAGAUUUACAACAAGAAGGAUUAUGAGUUUGCUUGUUUUCCGUUCAGAGUAGCUUAUGAUGCUGCGUGGGUCAGAGUUGAAGUGAGCAGACACCUGUCUUUGGCACAGCCGACUGAUAUUCAAGUCUACGACUUUAUAUUGGACAGCUGUAUCAAGUGUAUUACAUUAGCGGAUUCUCUCAAGCGCAGUGGGAAAAGUCAGGCAGGUUUUGAAACAUUGAGUGAUGGAUUAUUGCGCUGGGCAACCAUUCAUUCAACACUGCAACCUCAACCCUCAAAUAUCCCGAGUUCGCUUGCUUACACAUGGGUCAAAACGCUACACACUGAGGAUUCUGCAAUCCUAAAGUCUGGCACUCAUGUGUAUGAAUGCCUGUACAGCUUCUUGGAAACUAGAUGUCUAGCCUUGCACCACCGCACCUUAGGUCUCCUACUUGAAGAGGAGCUUUCAGUGCUCCACGAUUUGGAAAUCCAGGGAUUCGAUAACAUCCAAUUCAUAAUGGAACAGAAUUUACAGAGUCUGCUUGACAAUGUUUACAUUGUGGACGAUUUUCCUGUUGAACGAUGCAGGAUUCUCUUGGAGAAAGGAAGACUAGCUCGGUUGAAGGGAAACCAUGACUUCGAAUCCUUUUCAGAGGUUAUUGCUGUCUUGAACAAGACCCUAAAGGAUGUGACGAAGAAAGGUAUAGAUUCGACACAAAUUGCAAACGUUGAAAAUCAGCUGGCAAUGGCUUACUGUGCGCAUGCCUUCUGUUCGUAUGAAUCCGAACCUUCUGGACAGGAUUAUCUUGAGAGCAUAUUUUCAGCUCUCUCAGUCUGGGAAGAUUCUGCAAGAGGAGGACGCACCUGGAUUGGAUUGGAUGCACAUGGAGAAGCUCGGAUUUUGGGUCAGACUGCUUCUUGUGGGGUUUCACUGCUGCGUUUACUUCUGAGCGUGAAUGAUUUAAUGGCAUUGAAAGGCUACUCUCUCAUCCAAAAUAGGAUCCAGCAGCUGGUAGUAUCUUUACUCUCUCCCGUGCGAAUGGAUUCUGACUCCAAGCUUUUCUCAUCCCUGUGGGCAAACGCACGUCUUAGUCAUGUGUUAUGUCCAGUGCCAUAUCCUUCAGGUUUCUUCACCUUGUUAACGUCAAAGCUGGGAGCGGAUUGUAACGCCCUGCAAUUCUGGGAAGAUUGUGCUCUUCUAUGUCCAGGUAGUUCACUAGAUGCUCAACUGCGACUCAUGCAUCAGAGGCCUCACUACGGACGCCGUAAUACGAAUAUUGAUAAAGCAGCAGGUUGUUGCCAGGCUUUUGAGGUUGUGGAACAAAUUGCCAUAUCUAAACUUGGGACUGGACCAAAAUCUUCUGGAGAGGUUUCCAAGCUAGCAAUCCUCUUCUACAUGCUAGCCGAGCACGCUCUUGACGAAGGGAAGCUGAGGGUAGCAUGUAAGUAUGCGAAGGAGUCGUUGAACUUGCGACUCAGACUUGUUAGUCGUAUGUUUCAGACUAAGUACACGGGAACUGUGUCCACUGAUUCGGACAGUGACAAUGUUGAAAUUGAAGCUGCUGGUCAGGGCAAGAGCAAAACAGGCAGGCUUCAUGUUUUGGACUCAGUUGCCACCCGUGCGUGGCCUAAGCUGUCAUCCCACGCAAAACCAGUGGACUUCGAGCCAAAUCCUUGGCGAGUCUUGGGUGAUUAUGUCGAAAGCCUUAUGCAAAACGGUGUAAUCAGUGAAAAAGUAGGGGCUGUAGAUGAUGCUCUGGCCAGGUUCUCUGAGGGAUACUCCGUCUCCUUAACGCAGAACUUGCCGUUGGCGCGAGCUGCCUUCAAAUCUUGCUUGGGCGAGGUACAGCGCAAACGUCACAACUGGGAAGUAGCUGAAAGUGAGCUGCUUCUUGCUAAGGAAGCAUAUGAAAACUUGGAGACUUUGUGGAUAUGCAACUGUUGUCACCGCGCUGGGAGCGCUGCUGUUCUUUACAGGCUUGGUGACUUGGCGCGACGCUGCAGACAAAGUGGGGAUCCUGUAUCAGGCGGCCUUAUACAUCAUGAAGAUGCAAUGUCCUCUUACAUUUCUUCUCGAGAGUCGCUGACUGCCGUUCUGAGCAAAGUAAACGAAGGCUGUGAUUGUAGUAGCUGUAAAUAUUCUGCAUCAACUGCGCUUCAUGGGACUUCACAGAUUAUCUUAACGGAGGACUGUCUCAACACUGGUGUAGCUAGGCGACUUGAGGAGACUCUACAAUGUGAGAAUGAAAACAAUAAGGAGCAUUCAUCAAUAACGCCUUCUGUAGUGGGCGGUAAAUCAGUGAUGAUGCUGGAGAAUCACAAGCUCAGCACAGACCCCAGUCCUGCUUCCAAGCAAGUGGAGGUGGAUUUGUCAGCUUCUCUCUCAAACUUGAAGCUGACUCACAAGGAGAGCAAUGCAUGUGAUGUGAAAGCCCCAGCACGGCGGAACAGUAGGCGCAAGCCUAGUGAUGACGCUGUUCCGCUAGAGCAAAAGAAAUUGAUCGAGAAACGGUCAACUAGGAGUGGCAAGUUUAAAGUUACUGACAAAAUAGAACUUGUUGCUUCAACAGAAGUUGCACCAGUGGUGAAUGCAGUCAAUACAGCAAAAGUUGUCAGAAAGAGAUUGGUGAAAAAGUCUACAAUUGAGGAUCAAAAGGCCAUCCUCAACGAUAUUUUUACAAUUGUUGAGCCUGAAGGACAUGAUCAUCACGCCAACUUCACUUCAAACAGGGAGGAACUUACAUCAUGUGUUGUCAGACAAGCUUCGUCUGAGUCGAUGGACAAUUGGAUAACAUACAAGUGGGUAAACAUUUUCCACCAACUGUUGGCUCGAGUUACUGUGCAGAUGGGGAAGUGCUAUAUGGAAAUGGGAUAUCCUGAUAAAGCAGUGGUGGUAUUUCAGCAUGCUUCUUGUUUACUCAAUAUUCAAUUAGACCUGGUAAAUCCCUGUGCGGAUUAUACAUCCUAUUCUUUCAUGAACCGAAGCAAAAGUCUCUUUCCCAUCGAGGAGGCUGCGUUCUUCUAUCAUAAAAGUCUUUUCCAACUUCAAAUGAUUCAGUCGAGUGGAAGCGCGGGAGGCGUGGAAUGCGUCUUGCCUAUGAACUGGCUUGCUCAUGCCUACAGCCUCUCCACUCAAGCACCGCCCCUCCUCCGCAAAAUUUCAAGACUUCUGUCAAUUUUGCAUGUCCCAAUCACAUGUGGAGGUCUUGGUCUGGUUCACAACCUAGACUGUUCUAUGAGAGAACGAGCCGCAUUCUUCCACCAAGUUUCAAUCGGUGCUGGAUGCAGACAGCAGCAUCUGUCUGUGUUGGAUUCAAAAUUGCUGAGCCUCGCUUCCGAAACACAGCAGGAGCCUACACACAUUUCUUCCAGGAAAUGCUUUGAAGAAAUGCAGAAUGCCCUUGCUGUUGCUCCUUUAGACCUUCUGACACAGGAUUUAUCUGUAAGCAAAUUAGUGAAGGGGCUUCCUAUCAGUACUCUUUGCUGUAUCAGUCUUGUGGAUAGGGAACAAGCUGCUCUUUUGAAACGGAGAGAGUCUCUGAGCGGAUCUAAGCCAGCUAAAGCCUCGGUGUGGGUCCUUAGCACCCGGUACUGUGACACUAGUGGACCAAUAUCAGUCAUACUGCCAGCUAAUCCUCUUGUCGACGGUGAAGAGCACCUUUCAGAGCGACCUGGGAGUAGUGCAAGCUGUCCUUACGACCUUGAUGAACCAGAGCCCUUGAAACUUCCUUCUACUGCAAUCAACACCGGAGUGAUUGUCAAUAGCCGAAGACACAGAUACCAGUCAUCUCUGCAAGAAAUUGCAAGCGCAUUUACAUCAAUUUUGGAUGAAAGUAGGUUAUCAACCUCGGGAAAUGUUGAUAUUGAGACUGUAGAGGAAAAACGUCAAUGGUGGCGAUGGCGGUUGGCAUUGGAUACUCGCCUUUUGCAGCUUCUCGAAUCAAUGGAGAAUUCAUGGCUUGGCCAAUGGAAAUGCUUACUUGUUGCUGAACCCGCUUCCUCUUCCAACCAAGAAAAUUUGCAAAUUCGCGCGGAGGAACUUGUCUCUUGGCUAAAAUCUUCAUAUGGAGUCCUUCAGAAGAGCGGAGCUCACUGGAAUACCUAUGGUGCUCUAGUGCGUAUGUUGCUACAAGGCCUGGGAAGCCUCACCUCUGAUCAAGUCAAGGAAGGUAUUUCAAUGCUUCAGAAAUGCAUGGAAGCCUUUCUUGAUCAAUUGCAAGAUUCAAAGACUAUGGCACAGAACGGCCGGAGGAGUAAAAGAAGUAUUACUUGUGGUCAAGAUCUUAGCUCUGAGGCGAUGGAUCGGUUCUGUAAGGCGUAUAUAAAUCUCGUUCAAUCGCAGGAGUCCGAGAAUCCUCAACAUGGAGAAGAUACGUGUGCUGGUAUUUCGGGAAGUAAGCGGACUAGAAAGGCAAAGAAAAAUAUAUCUGCGACAUUUAUGGUAGGAUGUGGUGGUCCAAGCGAAGCCCGGCUGGAUGUACGAGACCUCGUUGGAACUGCACGGAAAUCGAUAACUCUUGUCUUGGACUCGGAAUUGCAAGGCCUGCCAUGGGAGAGUUUACCGGUGGUGCGGGGAUUCGAGACUUAUCGCAUGCCAUCAGUAGCUAGCAUUCGAGCUCUGUUCAUUCAUCAGCAACUAAUCUCUGCAACUGUUUCUUGUAAUUCGUCGACGCUUGACCAGACUAACGAGCAAGCAGGUUUGUGGGUGGACCGUAGUGUGCGCAAGAGCACUCUAGAGAUACCAUUGAGUAUAGUUCCGAUUUCAGAACCUCGUGUAAAUCCUUACAAUACUUACUAUGUGUUAAAUCCAAGCGGAGACCUUGCGAAAACACAGGAGGCAUUUGAGGUUUGGUUCAAAGAGAACAUCGGAUGGGAGGGUAAAGUUGGUCAAGUGCCAACAAUUGAUGAGUAUGUGGCAGGUCUACAGAAGCAUGAUCUCUACACCUAUCUUGGUCACGGCAGUGGGGAGCAGUAUCUGCCAGAAAGAUUUGUUCGCAGAUUAGAUCGUUGUGCAGCUUCUCUGCUCAUGGGUUGCAGUAGUGGCCGCUUUUCUCCAAGAGGAGAUUAUGAACCUGUUGGUGUACCACUUUCCUUUCUCAUGGCCGGAUGCCCGGCUGCCAUCGCAAACUUGUGGGAUGUCACAGAUGGUGACAUUGAUCGCUUUAGCCGAUUUCUGCUACAUAAAUGGCUUGGAACACCCAAUGAUGUUGAUUCUGUGACAUUAGAAAGGAAAGUCCAAGAUGAAGCGAAACAAACCAUGGAUGUAGCAGGUCAGCAUGGUUCCAGAAAAUAUAGUGAGAUUAUAGAAACUGUGACCCAACGCGAUCAACAAACAAUUCUAGCCAAAUCGAAUUGUGGAGAGAGGUGGUCGAGGAUGGGGUCCUUCAUUGGGGAGGGCAGGAAUAUCUGUCGAUUGCCCUACCUAAUUGGUGCCUCUCCUGUUUACUAUGGAAUACCCACCAGUAUCAUCAGGAAGGAAGCCCAUUAGCUGCGUCUUUUGGUUUGUACGGAAUGUACAUUUGGGUCAUGCUACACUGGAAAUAAGCAAACUCGUACGGAUAAAACUCAAGAAGUCUGGUGACAAAAAAAUUGUUCACUGUUUAUUGGUGGCCAUCUACAUGUUGGUUUCUCAAGCUUGUAUCGGCCAGUUAUUCCGUAGGCAAGGAUCCGAGGUCUUGGAAGUUUACAAUGAGCAGGAUUGGCCAUCUACGUGGAAUUUUAUUAUUUCUCAGGUAGCCCUGGGGAACAAGAAUUCGUGAUGCCACAAAAAUGCAGUUUGAUCUGUACAGCAGGUCUUUAGUGUAGUUUAAUGUGGAUCCUUUCUAUUUUUGAGCGUUGCUGGAAUUGAUUCGACAAGUAGGAUAAGUAAAUGCAAGGACCACUAAAAUGGCUGUCCUAGCUGAGAGUGCUGCACAAGAUCAAUUGCUUAAGUAAGCAAUAUCCAUUUUUCAAUCUGUGCUGCAAUACUGCAGCUGAUUCAUUCGACCUUAUGUUUUGGCUUUUACGCCGCAUCUGGUUGUAACCUUUCCAGAGCAUUUGGCUGUAACACAUAGUCUGGCUUAAUAUUGUACUUUAAGGUCAUGUGUACCACUGCCA